CAACUCUCUCUUGAUUCUCAUCAGCAUAGGUAAGAACUUUAUCAACCCAGUCCAGCUGGUCUUGACUGAAUCCACCAUUGAACUGUACAAAAUUGCAUUCAGCAAGCCCUCUCUCCUCGACUGAUAAUUUCCAAAGACGCCUUGAUUCCUUUGUCCGUCUAUUGUGAUUUCGAUCAGACAGGCGAACGAGGAGCAGUAAGUACUUCCACAAGGGCUGAAUUUCAAAAGGGCCGGCUUCUUCAUGCAAACCAUAGGG